rnacentral:rRNA from 1 species
UACGUAGGGUGCAAGCGUUGUCCGGAAUUAUUGGGCGUAAAGAGCUCGUAGGCGGUGUGUCGCGUCGGCCGUGAAAACCUACAGCUUAACUGUGGGCUUGCGGUCGAUACGGGCAUCACUGGAGUUCGGCAGGGGAGACUGGAAUUCCUGGUGUAGCGGUGAAAUGCGCAGAUAUCAGGAGGAACACCGGUGGCGAAGGCGGGUCUCUGGGCCGAUACUGACGCUGAGGAGCGAAAGCGUGGGGAGCGAACAGG